rnacentral:lncRNA from 1 species
CGCACAGGAAGGCCUUAGAGAUGAUUAGAGAGGAACGAAUGGUACAGAGGGAAACCCAAUCUUCAGUAGUUAGCUUUUAGUCUUUUGACUUUUCUUCUUCGGUUGUAGUAAAGACUCUUAGUAGUUGUUUUCUUCCUUCGUGAAUGUCAGGAGCAAAAGAAAAGUAUUGGACUAUUCCUUUUUCUUUGCUUUGUGCUCUUUGACUUUUCCGUCGUGGCUCUGAGUAGUAUUGCUCCCUGACAAUGGCCGCGAUUCUUGCUUCACUCUUGCGUGGAUUUUGUUCAUCGAUUUCGCAUGGGUUUUCCUCAUCAAUAAUGAGCUAAAUCCCUUUUUCUAGUUAAGGAGCAACGGAUGCUUUGGAUCGCCUAAAAAUUGUGAGAUCGAUUUAAUUUUAUCUUUCCCUUUAUUUAUUAGUAUUUGCAUAUUCCCUGAUUGCAGUGCUUAUGGUUGUUUAAUUAAUUGAUUGUCUUGGAUCCGGAUAAUUAGUUAAUUUAAUAAUCUAUUAUCAAUUGAGGUGUUAAAUCCGUAAUUGUUUAAUUGUCUCAAAAUAGUGAUAACUGGCAUGAUUGGGUUUGUGUCAGGGGAAUACGCGGGCUAAUCUAAAAUAACCCUGGUAGUGCGUUAUUUGGUUAGAAUAGGGCUCCUCUAAUACGUAAAGCAAUUGAGGAAUUAAAUUCUACGGGCGUACCUAGGAUUAUUUCUCAAUUAGAGCAGUGAUUAACGGGCGUACCUUAAUCAUCGACACAGUAAGGAGGGGUUGACUGUCAUCGCUUGUUUGGCAGUUAUAACCUAUUUAUUAGUAAAUAAUUGGGAUUGCCUUUGCUUAUCGAUGAUCAAUUAGGUGAACCAUUGCUGAAGUUAUUCCUUGGCUAGAUCCUUUGAUUUUAGUAAAUUGUUAUUUAAUUUCUAGUUGGCUAUUUUAUUUUUAUUAUUUUACUUUUAGUUGGAUUGCUUAAAUUGUCACCCCUGAGAUAAAAACACCCCCUUUGUCACUGUGAAUUUGAAAAGGAACAAUUACUCCCAGUCCCUGUGGAUUCGACCCUGCUUACCACUAUCUACAGAAAUCACUUUUAGUUUGAGCAGGUUUUAUUAUUGCACAGGCUUCGACAACCUGUCAAUUUUUGGCGCCGCUGCCGGGGACUGGCGCUAGUUAUUUGUUUCUUUUUAAGUUCAUCUUGUUUUCAUUUUUUUUUAUAGUUUAUGGCUGCUAGCAUUCCAUAUUUUGAUGAUAGACCGGACUUUGUUCCUGAAUGGGGUUAUGAGACUCAUGUUCUUCCUAAUGAUCAAUGGGCUGUUGCAAAUUGUGGAACUUAUUUUGACUCAGGUUAUUCAACUGACACAUACCCCGCAUUUCAAGACAAUCUAAGUGCUCCAAUUGAUACUUUCGGAGAUUUUCC